UAGAACAAAGUUGGGGGGUAAGGUAAAACUUGGAAUUACUGAGAUGAGUUCGAUGCAUUUGUCUUAUGAGUUGUGAAUUUUGAUUGGAUUAGGAAAGGUUUGCUUGCGUGUAUGAAAAUGGCAGCUGGAGGAAUUGCGUCAGGAUCCAGACUUUUCUCGAAAGUUUUGAGGCCUCAAUCUUCUGACGUUCAGGCCGCGGCCAUGUGGGGCGUCGCCGCCGCCACUGGUGCCCUUUGGCUCAUUCAGCCGUUUGAUUGGUUGAAGAAGACAUUUUUGGAGAAACCUCAAGCUGAAGGGCAGUAACUUGUGAAGUCAUGAUGCGAGAUCCAGCGUUUAUGAUCAAUGCAAUGAGGUUUCAUUGAGAAGAUUUAGGGAGAUUCUCGUCUGUCGCAAAUUCUAUGUUUCUACAUCUUGUUUCCACCUCCAAGCAGAGGCUUUUCUAAUAAAAAUAACUUGUUCAUUACUCAA